rnacentral:rRNA from 1 species
UACGGGAGGCAGCAGUGGGGAAUAUUGCGCAAUGGGCGAAAGCCUGACGCAGCCACGCCGCGUGCGGGAUGAAGGCUCUAGGGUUGUAAACCGCUUUAGGCAGGGAAGAAAAUGACGGUACCUGCAGAAUAAGGUCCGGCCAACUACGUGCCAGCAGCCGCGGUAACACGUAGGGACCGAGCGUUGUCCGGAUUUAUUGGGCGUAAAGAGCUCGUAGGCGGUUCGGUAAGUCAGGUGUGAAAGCUCGAGGCUCAACCUCGAGAUGCCACCUGAUACUGCUGUGACUUGAGUCCGGUAGAGGAGUGUGGAAUUCCUGGUGUAGCGGUGAAAUGCGCAGAUAUCAGGAGGAACACCAAUUGCGAAGGCAGCACUCUGGGCCGGUACUGACGCUGAGGAGCGAAAGCGUGGGGAGCGAACAGGAUUAGAUACCCUGGUAGUCCACGCCGUAAACGUUGGGCACUAGGUGUGGGAUCGAA